rnacentral:ribozyme from 1 species
AUUGCAAGUUCAAGGGCACAGCAGAAGCACUCAGGGGGUGGCCCUGUCAGAUUCCAAUGAAUGUAUGAAUUCUGCU